GGCUUUCCGUGGCUCCCACUGUUCUCUCAAGGUUCAUAUCAGUGAAGAAAAAGCAUUCAGAAUGGAAAACACUAUUGUUCUGACACAGGACAGACAAAAUCCACCGAACUUUCCUUGCAUGGGAUUAGAACACAGUGGACAGGAGAUACAGUCAGCAUAGUCAAUUAAAUGCUCCCCCUUCGUAUCCAAUGGACAAAUGUUUACCCAUCUGGUUUGGCUUAUUAGCCAUGCUUGCUUAGACUGCUUACCCAGUUCCCAAGCUGUGAAAAAUAGACUUUUUUCUUAGCAAGGGAUGAAGUCGUGGAACAACAUCUUACUUUUGCUCACUGUUUCCCCGUUCCUACAAGGUCCUGAGUUCAACUACCAGCAAAAUCAUAGUGGCAUAAAACCAUGUAUAAUGGCAUUAAACUUCCACUUCUGUUGUGUCUGAGAGUUACAGAUACUCAUUGAAAACAAAUAAAAUAAAACUUUAAAUAAAAAAAUAAAAGUUUACUUA